CCCCCCCAAGACGAAAUCCAAUCAGCCCACUGGCAAUAUGAACAGGUUACAAUCCACCCUGUCGUUACUUAUUACAGAUAUUCUGAGACUGGAUGUGAAGGUUGUCACUGAAAGUAUUGUGUCAUUCUGAUGAUGCUGUACAGGCAUUCAACACAACAAUAAAUGAACAUCGAAGAAAAUUAAACAUAUGGAGUACAAUUUUUGAAGGGAUGCAGUGCCGAGUACAAGUCACCAACUCCAUUUGUGGAUGUAUUCUGUCGGGCAGAUGAUUAAAAUGGUUUCACGGUUGAAAGAAAUUUCUUUGGCUCACAUCACAGUAAAGGAUCUUGUGAUGGGUCGGGAGCUGUUACAAAAUAAGCUAAAGGAAGAGCUAUUGAAAGCAGUGAAGCCACUACAGGUAUACAGAAUGCAGAGGGUCAACUUAACCCGUCGGUAGAUGUCAUCCCAGAAUCUCCUGAUACAGGACAAAGCAGAUCACCAGUCACUGAGUUUGUUGAUGGAGAACAACAUGAUAAUACCACAUACACAUUCCCUUGACUUCACUUUCACAAAUAAACAACUGAAGAUAAGGAUAUCAGUGGUGGAUCCACAACAGAGAAUAGACAACUGAAGAGAAGGAUAUCGGUGGUGGAUCCACUACAGAGAAUCAACAUCACCAGUCUAUAGAUGAAGUCCCACAAUCUUCUGAUUCCGGGCAAAUCCGUUCUUGUGUCUCUUUGUUGUCCACCCAACUGACAGAGAACAACCGAUAAGGCUACUAUUCCUGAGCCACAGAGAACAACCCGAUAAUGCUACAAUUCCUGGGCCACUCAGAACAAUUAACCCGUCGAUAAUGCUUCAAUUCCUGGGCCACUCAGAACAAUUAACCCGUCGAUAAUGCUUCAAUUCCUGGGUCACCACAGCAGUUAAAUGGUUUUGACAGGUAUAUAUAUUUGAUAGAGUUAUAUUCUUCCAAAAUAUUGAACAAAGAAAGAUCAGUUAAGGUGAUAGUUGAAAUAAACUAUUUUACUCACUUUUGUACAAAUUGUAUUAUGUUUAUUGCCUUCCAGUGAUUUAGUUAGACAUUUUCAUUGACUAACCAUUUUGCCAAUUAACAUGAUUAAAGUGGCAAUUUUUUUGUUGCUAAAAAUAUAGCCAAA